UGUUGAUACAGUGGAAUGCCAAUUCUGGGCCCCGGCAAACAAGCACAGACUGAUGGGACUGCAUAGUGUUGCUGGUAUGGGAUGAUUGCCAGUGACUGUGAAACUUUCACAUGUGUAAUGCCACUUUCAUGGAACUUUGAGUUGCUUUCCCCCACCCUGAAGCGCAGGAAUAUCAAGGUAAGACCUGCCCUGACAGUUGAAAAGUGAGUGGCGGUAGCCCUGUGGAAGCUUGCAGUGCCAGACAGCUACCAGUCAGUCAAGAAUCAAUUUGCAGUGGGCAAAUCUACAGUGGGGGCUGCUGUGAUCCAAGUAGCCAAGUGAAUCAAUAAUUUUUGCUAACAAGGGUAGUGACUCUUGGAAAUGUGCAGGUCAUAGUGGAUGGCUUUGCUGCAGUGGGUUCCCUAACUGGUGGGGUAAUAGAUGGAACACAUAUCCCCAUCUUGGCACUGGACCACCUUGCCAAAGAGUACAUAAACUGCAAGGGGUACUUCUCAAUGGUGUUGCAAGCAUUGAUGGAUCACAAGGGCCAUUUCACCGACAUCAACAUGGGUUCUUCUUCGAGUGCUUGCUCAUAUCCAUUCCAGUAGAUGUAUGCGCCGGGCGUGCACGUUCGUCGGAGAACUUUUACCCUAGCAACUCCAGUGGGCCGACAGGUCGCCCCCUAGAGUGGCGCCGCCAUGGCGGGUGAUAUAUACCCCUGCCGGCCCGCCCGCUCCUCAGUUCCUUCUUAAAACCGAGAGAGAUAGUCGGUACGGAAGCCCGGCUGCCUGGCGUGGAGCCGGCGUGGAAUGCGAGUUGCCUAGUGGCCCUUUUGUAAGCAGAACUGGCGCUGCGGAUGAAACCGAACGCGGUUAAUAAGGGCGCCGAUGCCGAGCUAUUUGUCAUCAACCCCAGAAAAGGUGUGUGAUAUAGAAGCAGGACGGUGCUCAUGGAAGUUGAAAUCCUAGCUAAGGAAGUGGUAACAAUCACCUGCCGAAUCACAACCCUGAAACAUGGAUGCGCACGGACGCGUCGGGCCGCAUACCCGGUCCCGGCAAGAGAGCCGCGGGCUACGCCGCGACGAGUAGGAGGGGGCCGCUGCGGUGCGCCUGAAGCUAGGCGCGGCCCGUGAGCCGCCGCAGGUGCAGACUUGGGUGGAGUAGCAAAUAUUCAACGAGAACUUUUGAAGCCGGGACAAGUGGAGAAGGGUUCCAUGUGAACAAGCAGUUGAAACAUGGGGUCAGUCGGUCUAGAGAGUAGGCGAGCGCCGUCCGAAGGGAUGGCGAUGGCCUCCGGUUGCCGGUCUCCGGCGAUCGACGAAGGGAGUCGGGUUCAGAUCCCCGAAUCCCGGAGUGGCGGAGACGGCGCCUGCGAGGGCGUCCAGUGCGUAACGCAACCGAUAUCCGGAGAAGCCGCGGAGCCCCCGGGGAGAGUUUCUUUUCUUUGUGAAGGGCAAGGCGCCCGGGAAUGUUCGCCCCGAGAGAGGCCUGGCCUUUGGAAAGCGCGCUGUCCGCGGCGUCCGUGACUCGUCGCUGGCCUCUGAAAAUCGGGGGAGAUGGUGUUUAAAUCUCGCGCCGGCAGUCCCAUAUCCGCAGCAGGUCCCAAGGUAACAGCCUCUGCAUGUUGAACAAGUCACGGUAAGGGAAGUCGGCAAGCCUGGAUCCGUAACUUCGGGAUAAGGAUUGGCUCUAAGGGCGGGCGGUCGGCGGGGCGCGAAGCGGGGCUGGGCGCAGAGCCGCGGCUGGGCGAGGCGCCGCCCAUCCCUCCCGGGAGGGCUGCGGCGCGACCUGACGCCGACCGGGCCCUUCCUUGGAUUCGCCCCAGCUGGCGGGCGUCGCUCGCCUCCCCAUCCGCGGGACGGGGGGGGCCGGCGUCCGCCUCGGCCGGCCGUCCUAGCAGCGUGAACUUAGAACUGGUGCGACCAAGGGAAAACGACUGUUUUAAUUAAGACGAAGGCAUCGCGAAGGCCGGGCGGUGUGACAGCGAUGUGAUUCUGCCCAGUUGCUCUGAAGUCAAAGUGAAUGAUCAAUGAAGCGCGGCAGUAAACGGCGGGAGUAAUAUACUCUUAAGGUAGCCAAAUGCCCGUCAUCUAAUUAUGACGCGCAUGAAUGGAUUGAAACGAGAUCCACUGUCCACCUACUAUCUAGCGAAACCCCAGCCAAGGGAACGGGCUUGCAGAAUGCAGCGGGGAAAGAGACCGCUGUUGAGCUGACUCUAGGCCUGGCGCUGUGAAGAGACAUGAAGAGGUGUAGCAAUAAGUGGGAGGUCCCGGGCCGCCGGUGGAAAUAGCCACUAUCUUAAGCGUUUCUUUUCACUUACCCGUGAGGCGGGGGGGCGAGCCCCGAGGGCUCAUGCUUCUGGCCGCCAAGGUCCGCAGGGGGAGAACAUUUUGGCGGCGUGGGAAGGAUUGAAGGCAAAUACCUGGUGGCCAAUUUUGAACAGCCAGACACCACAGCGCAAUAGCAAGGGCACAGCAGGGAUGAUGGGCAUCAGAGAGGCUUUGAAAAACGUUNNNNNNNNNNNNNNNNNNNNNNNNNNNNNNNNNNNNNNNNNNNNNN
rnacentral:rRNA from 1 species